UUACGGUCGUAUCAGGUUGAAAUACUGGUUCCCGUACGAUCACCGAAGUUAAGCAAUGUUGAGCCUCGUCAGUGCGUAAAUGGGUGAUCGCUUGGGAAUACCAGGUGCUGGA